CUCGCGCAUCUGCCUCUCUUGUUAGAGGAAUGGUGGCGUUGUAAACAUGAAACGAAGUUACAGAACACUCCGAGUGACAGAAUAGGAUUGACUAGGCUGGGAAAGUGUUCUGUGUAGAUACACACAUCAUUAUAUAUAUAUAUAUAUAUAUAUAUAUGAAUGCACACACAAGGAAUGUGCAUGAGCUCUAUUUACACAUAGAUGGUGAUGGUCUAGCCAAAGUGAAGGUAUUGUGUUCCCUUUUUCGACAUCUUCCAUACCGCUUCCAUUUGUGGAAUCAAAAGAGUUUAGAGCAGAAAAUCCAGGCCACCGUAAUGCCAGAGCCUCCUCAAGUUCUUGGACCUGCACAUGUUACGUAUCCGACGAAUACUGCACAUUCUUCGUUUUCGUCGACAACAGAAAAACCACAAACAUGUCUUUGAUUCCUUGACUUAUGCUGCUAUUGAUUUCUACCUAUCCGCAUCUGUCUCUGCGCAUAUUGCCCGAAUGUCGCAGGGUUUAUUUCUAUACCAGCGCCAACAGCGGUCAAGACGUCAGGCACAGAGACGCCUAUCUGUACACGUCUGGUGGCACAUGUUUGUGCGUCUCUGCGACUUCUGUAUACAGCUGUUGGCAGAUAUGCGUGUUGUACCUAUAACUUUGUAUCUAUGUGUGACGUAUGAGUGAGUUCUGGAAGUUUUGCCACGAUAGGGAAAUGAACUCUUGGACGCACGGGAGUGACCUUACUUGCGAAUUCAGGAUGGCGACGGUGGAUUCCAGUUCGUCGAUUUUUUUCCGUUGGAAGUCAAUUGUUUCCUUUUGCGUGACAACUGUCUUGCGAGUGCUAUCAAGCGCGUCUUGCACUGUGUUGAGUCGCGACACCAGCAUUUGAACUUUCGCUUCCGAAGACACCUCUCUGCGACAGAACCACUCCCGCCGUGUCUCAGUUCCUCUCUCUGAACUGAUUCGUGUGACAAGCCCCUCGAUGGGGUUCUGAGUUGUACUCGUUUGCAGUAUCGCGCUUGCGGGGUCGGCAUCUCUUUCACAUGUUUCCACGGUCAAUUCCUUCGUACGAGUAUCGAUGGCGAGGACAUUACCAUCUAGGAAUAUCCUGCCGUCUCUCUCUGUGGCGUCGACACUUUUUGUGAGCGUGACGUGCGUGGAGCUACCCGCUGCGGGGGCCUUGAUGGAAAAUCGAUGCCCAUCGACACCCUCGCUGUUUUCUCCAGUGCUGUCUCCCUCGCCACUAUUGAAACCCUUAGUAUGGUAGGCAAAACCAACCGAUCGCUCGACGGAUGGAGACGAGUCUGUCCCUUCCUCUCUAUUAUUUGCGUGCAUGUACAGUAUCGUCGUUUCACUUUCCUCCUCUGAUGCCUGGCUAGAUAGCCUGUUUUUGAGUUCUCCGUAGUCUGCUUCCACCACCAUUGUACCCCUUAUAUUCGUUUCAAUCGGUCGGCAGUCUCCUGAAGUCAGACUUUGGCCCUCUUCGGCGGAACUCCGUUUCAGGGGGGAAUCUUCGUUUUCGUGUCACUUGUUCCUCUAUCUUGUGCAUCUAAAGGCUUGCCGUACUUUCGAGCCCUUAUCUUCCUCAGUCUGCUUCUCUUCUCUCAAAUAUGUUUACCCCCUCACGCGAUCCUUCAUAUACAGAACGGUGUCUUGCAUCUGCUCUCUCCUCCCUCGUUUAGGGAUUGGCUUAUUGCUGCUUUUCUUCUCAGCUACCACGUUUAGUUAUUCUGAGAUUCAGGGGCAACCGGCUCCUUUGUCAUCUAGUGUUCUGUGUUUCUCGUGCUGCCCUUGCCGGCGGGCGUGCAUGCGCGCCUUCUGAAGGUGACCUGCCGUAACUGACUGAAGGGGACAGGGGCGUAACAUCGGUUUCCUCGUUUCCCAGUGAUUGAGGAAGAGAACAGGCAUAUAUGGUCAUCACCACAGGAAAGCGUUAAGUCGUCGUUUCGUUCGCAGAAUGAGGAAUAGAGAAUCUGGCCUGUGAAAUGUAGAGGUCAUGUGGAGAGAGGUAAGCCUUGCGCUGUGGUAGCUGUCGCCGAUGCGUCUCGAUCUUGAAAAUGAUAGUCUUGCAAUAAUACCUGUGGACCAUUUUCGUUGAAAAAGUACACAUCACCGCCUCCCUCAUGUGGGUUGGUUCUUUUCUUGAGAUGAUACAGGCAAAUCCAGGCUAGACAUAACGUCGCCACCGAACCAUGUGAUUUCUGAAAAGAUUAGCAGAAACAGGCGUGAUGCGCCUGUGCAAGUGUAUUCACCAGUCAACAGUUCACGAUUCUGUGGGUGAUUUGACACAUGCAGUCUCUCCGCAGUGGAAGGAGAAGAGGAGACGCAACCAGCUGAAAGGCAGAGCGAAAUUCUCUAGGAAACAUUGUUGGGGACAAGAAGACAUUUAGCACUCACUCGCUGUGAGUGUUGACGAUUGGUUACAGGGCACUCCCUGAGUUCCCAAAAUCGGAAGUUCCUCUUCGUACACAAAAGACAUAUGAUACCAUCAAUUGAAAUGACCAAUUAGUGAGGCACUUGCCGAAAACAGCCGCACGAAAAUCGUGAUCACAACGAGGCACAUUGCCGUCCGCGUGCGCGGCGUUCCGUAAACAACAACGCUACCGUGACCUUCCUCCCGUUUUUUCUGUCAUACUACGUCUACACACACGGACAGCAGACUAGUCCUCGAAUCAUUCGUCGCUUUUGAGUUGGAAUAACUUUCCCCUCUCGUGCACGAAAUAGCAGCAAAACCUACGUAUAGCGCUGACGAGUGGACUGUGCAUGCCUUCAUCCUGCGGCGUGCAAUACCACAACGCCGGCACGGCACUAACCGGGGUGCGGUGAGAAAGCGCUGGUCGAUAUCAUGCAUGGAAUGGUGUGUUUCUUUCCCAACUCGAUAAAGAAGUCGGUGACUGAUUGAAAAAAGCAUAUGUAAUACACACUGUUUGUUUCAUAUUCCAAAAAAAUAUUCCAAAAAAAUUGCAGCUUUCGAGUGCGGCGUACGGCGCCUGGGUGUAACGGCUCUCGUCAGUAGAAGCCGUCGGAGCUUGGAAACUCACACCUCACCGAAAGGAACGCCAGUCGGAUUUUGUGUUAAUGCAGAGAGGUACCCGUGAACUUAAUCUCGCAAUACAGAAGAAGGCGAGAGACAACCGGAGAUCGUCACACAAAAGAAAGGGGAGCGCAUGACUCAGGC
rnacentral:lncRNA from 1 species